GUUCGGGCUCCCCGCGUCUUACCUCCCCCUCCCCUAGAGCGGUAAGGAGAGGGGAGGGGAAUGGAGAGAGGGAAGGGGAGGGGAGAGUAAGGGGCUAGCAGCUGCGCGCACGCGCAAGUUGAACCCGAGCUGGAGCUGGAGACUGAGGGGUUCUGGUCUCCAGCAGCGCGCGUGUGAAGAAUGGGGCAGCUGGUACCGAGAACGAAGGUGAAACCUUUCUCCCCAUGGAGGGCUUGGGAAGAAGCCGUGAUCUGGGGGGGGGGGGGGGGGGGGGGGGGGGCAGCGGAAUUCACACGUAGAUGCUGUUGACCAGGCUACCCCAAAGGAAACCUUAACUCAGCUAUGUUAAGACCUGAAAUGGAAUCUUAAGCGUUGAGACCAUGCCAAAGAUUUCACCUGUCUUCUGUCGUCAUUUAAGAUUCUCCUAUUUCUGCCUGCCAUCCACGAAAUUAUAAGUAAAGCCUCCACGAUCUGGUCCCCAGAUGAAUUUAGGGUUGCUCUGAGAAGUGCACACGAGUAUAUUUCUCUCUAGAAGUUUCAGAGGCCGCUUGACCCUUCUACAUCCUGCCAGGCUGAUGUCUGAACAGGCUGCCUCCCUACAGAGCAGAAAGAAGGUUCUGUUGUAAGAACAUACUUAGAAGAUAAGACGGGUUCUGCUGUUUCUUUUGAGAGAUGGGGAAACCAAAGCUGAGAGGCUCAGCCCUGCCAGGAUCAGAAGCCAAGCAACGUGACAUCAGAGCCCGCACACGCCAGCUAGACUGCCUCCUGGUAUAAAAAUCAAAGCUGGUUCACAAUCUCAGCCCAGCCUCAGGAAUCAGACUGCUCAGGUUCAGUGCUCCGUCUCAGCCCUCUCUAAUUGUUUGACCUUCUUUGUGCCUGGUUUCUGACCCCCAAAAAAAUAGAAUAAAGGCUGGGAGUGGUGGCGCAUGCCAGUAUCCCUAGCUCUCGGGAUGUGACAGCAGAACAAACACAAAUCCAAGGCCAGCCUCCACUACAUUGUAAGGUUGAAGCCAGUCUGGACCACAUGAGACCCUGCCUCAAAAAAAGAGGGAAGCCGGCAGUCCUACCUCAUAGAGUUACUGUAACAAUUAAUUGUUUUUUAAUUAAUGAAUCGAUCAACGGAACUUAGAACAAUUCCCAGGACAUAGUAAAAUCUCAGUUAAAUGUUCAUUUUUUUACUACUACUUAGACUAAAAUAUCAGCUAAGAAGUACGUGGCAGGCAGAGAACCGUUCCACUGUUGUCAGGUCUGAGAACAUUUAUAUAAAAUCAGAAGUUGUAAAAACCCCGUGAGAUCCACCUGACUCAGCCCAUUCUGCGCAGCCUUCCUCUGUCCUAAUCACUGCACUUUUCGGUGUUUGCCCCUGCCAGACAGCCUCCUAUAUACUGACAACUGGUUGAAUCUCUCAGAUUGUUGCAGUCUAGAUCCAGGAGACUGUAAACUGGAGAGGACAGGGACUUUGUCUUUAUUAUGACACAGAGCAAUGCUGGAAUAUUAAAUAUUUAUUGAACCAGUGAAUGGACUAUCGUUUUAUUAAUAAGAGACUCAAACAGUUUAAGUGAUCUGGACCAAGGAGCACCCAUUUGUUCUUAAAUAUUCUGGUUCCCUGCUCUGAACCCUCAGGUCCAGCAGAGCUUUUGAUUGGCAAGUUCUAAUCUGCCACUUCUGGACUCUCAGGCAGGAGAAUCUGGUACCAUGUAAGCUAGAUUCUGAAAAUCCAUCACCAGACAGAUCACUUCCUCCACUACCAUGUUAUCCAGGAAAUUCAGACGUGUGGAGCUAACUGCCCUGUGUGCUAGCCAAAGGCACAUCACCAUCCUUGGGAUGCUUGUAGAAUUUGUAAUAUUUAGUAAUCAUCCUGCUGAAGAGAAGAAUAGGUCUUAGGCUAGCAGCAAACAUGAGAAACAAGGCAGGUGUAAAUCACGACUAGUUUCAAAGUGUUGUGCAACCACACACCAAAAUCUAUUGGUCUAACUUUUAAAAUCCCCAAGUCCUGGAUUCCAGAGCUGGCCUUUCACUCUUAGCGUGCAGACGGAAGCAUGUGGAGAGCACUGUCUGUGCAGGAGAGAUUUUCCUGUCAGUGCACACCACCACCUGUUACCUGUCUUAUCUCUGAGGAUGGCUGAGCUCAACCGAUAAUGAGGAUAUAAAUAACACCCACUAAGAAGACAAAGAAACUAUCCUUACACCCCGGGCCCAUCUGCCAAAUCAGACCUCCAGUCCCAGUUCACCCUGCAGAAGCUCUCAUUAGGUUCCAAGGGUAAAGGUCCCAAGCACAAUCUCUCAGGCUAAUUUCCUAGGCAGAAACACUUUGGCUCCAUGCUUACAUCUGGGUGGUGACUGUGCCAUGCUGCAGGCCCAGCAAAGGGUCCCUCGGGACCACCUCUAUCCCAUCUGCCAGCUGAGCCCCAUCACUACCUCCUCACUACAACCCUCCUGCUUCUUUCUAGGGAAUAUAGACCCUGCUAGCUGUCUGUCUGUUAGUCCCUGGAGCGGUCAAGAGCUCUAAGAUUUAAAAAAGAAUAAAUAAAAGCAUGAAAAGGGUCUUAAUCUUUCCCCACUGCAAACUGAGCUCCCGAGAACACAAACACCAGCUGCAUGAAACAGGAUGAAAUGAGACAGUGAAAUUGGGGUAACCAGUAUGGAGAGUCAGGGAGGGGAGAUGAGGCCCCCAGGGACCUGGAAGGGAUGGGAUUGGAAGAAAGAGGGAGGGGACAAAUGGAGUCUAACCCAUGCUCAAAUCUGGGUCAGGGGUGGAUUAGGGGCACAGCUGGCCUCAAGCCCCAGUGAUAGGGUUCAUGGAGAACAUUCAUUUGUGGCGGGCUUUGAAAAGCUGGGCACAUCAGCAAAAUGUUCUAAACGGUCAUUAUGGAAUAAAAACCAGCCCUGCGCUAACUGCACAGAGAAAGCAGAGCAGAACAAGUCUCUCAUAUUCUCCUCACCAUCAAACUUACACUGUAAACUAUUUUUUUUUUUGAAACUAGAGACUUUCAAAUGCUAGGAAACCAUUCUGCCACUGACCUACAGUCUAAGUCUGUAGUCUAGGUUGGUCUGUAACUCGAAGCAAUACUCCUGCCUCAGCUUCAUGAGUAGCUAGGAGUACAAGCCUGGCUACUUUAGGCCUUUUAAACAAAAAUGAUAAAUCAAUCAAAGUAUAUGGGGAUGGAAAUUACUAUUAAUAAGAAGGAAUGCCUUCCUAAGGGGAUAUUUUUAUUAGGAGUACUCAAAUUUUAGAGAAUACAGUUAAGAAUAGAUGUAGUUAAAUAGAAAUAUAAGUCACAUAAAGUCACUAAUGAGAAAUGUAACUACCUCAAGGUUGUGAUAGAACACUUUCCCUUUGAAUACCUUUCACACACGGGCACACACACAUUUAUACACGCACACAUUUUCACUUGCGUAUAUUAAUUUCAGUAAUGGGCAAUUGCUGCUUUUUUAGGUAGAUUAAAUAUCACAGUAUCAUUUGCCUCAGCCUACUGAGUCUUUGUUUUGCAGGUGUGGUGUUCAUCUGUGCUUGUGUGUGCCUGUAAAGACCAGAGUGUGACAUCAGAUGUCUUCCUCUGUCUUCCACCUUUGUUUUGUUUUUUUGAGACAGUCUCACUGAACCUGGAACUUACUGUUGUGGGUAGCCCUGCUGGCCAGUGAGCACCUGGGAUCCACAGUCUCUGCCCUCUGCUUCCCCAAACCCCCAGCCCUGAGAUUGCAGACACACACCACCAUGCCCCUGCCUCUACAUGGGAUCAGACUCAGGUCCACAUACUCAUAUGGCAAGCAGUUUACCCACUGAAUAUCUCCUUAAUCCCUCAGUCUAAAGUACUUCUGGGUUGUUGUUGUUGUUGUUGUUGCUGCUGCUGCUGCUGCUGCUGCUGCUGUUGCUGCUGCUGCGUUUUUGAGACUGAGUCUCACUGUGUAGCACCUGCUGGCCUGGAACUCACAGAGAUCUGCUCUGUCUCAUGAGUUCUCAGCAAGGAUGAUUGGUUUUGUUCUUGUUUUUUGUUUUGUUGUUGUUUGUUUGUUUGAAAACUUAUUGUAUGGAACUGACUUUUCACUUAACAACAGAUUACAAUAAAUAUUUUAACAGUA